GGGCCCGCACAAGCGGUGGAUUAUGUGGAUUAAUUCGAUGCAACGCGAAAAACCUUACCUGGCCUUGACAUGUACCGAAUUUAGCAGAGAUGCUUUAGUGCUCGUAAGAGAACGGUAACACAGGUGCUGCAUGGCUGUCGUCAGCUCGUGUCGUGAGAUGUUGGGUUAAGUCCCGCAACGAGCGCAACCCUUGCCAUUAAUUGCCAUCAUUUAGUUGGGCACUUUAAUGGGACUGCCGGUGACAAACCGGAGGAAGGUGGGGAUGACGUCAAGUCCUCAUGGCCCUUAUGGCCAGGGCUUCACACGUAAUACAAUGGUUGGUACAGAGGGAAGCGAACUCGCGAGGGGGAGCAAAUCUCAAAAAGCCAAUCUCAGUCCGGAUUGGAGUCUGCAACUCGACUCCAUGAAGUUGGAAUC
rnacentral:rRNA from 1 species